AACGAACGCUGGCGGCAGGCUUAACACAUGCAAGUCGAGCGCCCCGCAAGGGGAGCGGCAGACGGGUGAGUAACGCGUGGGAAUCUACCCAUCACUACGGAACAACUCCGGGAAACUGGAGCUAAUACCGGAUACGUCCUUCGGGAGAAGGAUUUAUCGGGGAUGGAUGAGCCCGCGUUGGAUUAGCUAGUGGGUGGGGUAAUGGCCCACCAAGGCGACGAUCCAUAGCUGGUCUGAGAGGAUGAUCAGCCACACUGGGACUGAGACACGGCCCAGACUCCUACGGGAGGCAGCAGUGGGGAAUAUUGGACAAUGGGCGCAAGCCUGAUCCAGCCAUGCCGCGUGAGUGAUGAAGGCCCUAGGGUUGUAAAGCUCUUUCACCGGCGAAGAUAAUGACGGUAACCGGAGAAGAAGCCCCGGCUAACUUCGUGCCAGCCGCCGCAGUAA
rnacentral:rRNA from 1 species